UACGGGAGGCAGCAGUGGGGAAUAUUGCACAAUGGGCGCAAGCCUGAUGCAGCCAUGCCGCGUGUAUGAAGAAGGCCUUCGGGUUGUAAAGUACUUUCAGUCGUGAGGAAGGUGUUAAGGUUAAUAACCUUAGCAAUUGACGUUAGCGACAGAAGAAGCACCGGCUAACUCCGUGCCAGCAGCCACGGUAAUACGGAGGGUGCGAGCGUUAAUCGGAAUUACUGGGCGUAAAGGGCACGCAGGCGGUUAAUUAAGUUGGAUGUGAAAUCCCCGGGCUUAACCUGGGAAUGGCAUUCAAGACUGGUUAGCUAGAGUCUUGUAGAGGGGGUAGAAUUCCAUGUGUAGCGGUGAAAUGCGUAGAGAUGUGGAGGAAUACCGGUGGCGAAGGCGGCCCCUGGACAAAGACUGACGCUCAUGUGCGAAAGCGUGGGGAGCAAAC
rnacentral:rRNA from 1 species